ACUAAUGUUGUUAAAAUUUGGAAAGUGAUUAAUGACAUUUAGACAUCAUGCCUAUAGGAUUUUAAUAUAAUAAAUUCGAGCAAGUCAGUUGGUUUAUUUAUUUAGAAGUCGUGUCUUUAGGUCUAGAUUAAUAUCUGCAUGUCAAUAAAAUGUCCGGAAAUGCAUAAAUUCUUGCCCGCCAUAAAGUUAUGUCUAUAGUGUUUAACAAUCGGUCUAAAUGAAAUAGAUGCCCUGCCUAUAGGUUUCCUUAAUAACAUCAUGAUCAUAAGGUUUUUUUUUACUUUAUCUAUCAUUUGGAGUUUAGAAAAAGUCAUGCCUGUAGGUGUUAUGCAAUAUUUUGAUCUUUCAGCCACACUCAGAAAUCAUAUCUAGGAUAUAAUUAAUAAAAUCAAAAUUAUUCAGCUUGUUAAAAUCACCCAUUUUUUCAGCAUGUUUAAUUAAUCACUAAGCAGCUUUAAGCAUGUUAAUCAUUUAAUUAGCAUAUUUAUAUGCUUCUAAUAAAUUUCCAGCAUGUUUUUAGUCUGCUAUGAAUAUUCUCUAUCAAUAAUUUCCACUUAAAAUAAAUCAAUUUUUGCUCCUGCACGUUAACUGCGAUAUUAAUUU
rnacentral:lncRNA from 1 species